GAUGAACGCUAGCGGCGGGCUUAAUACAUGCAAGUCGAGGGGUAGCACGAUGUAGCAAUACAUUGGUGGCGACCGGCGGACGGGUGCGUAACACGUAUGCAACUUGCCCUAUACUGGGGGAUAGCCCGAAGAAAUUCGGAUUAAUACCCCAUAACAUCAGAACAAGCAUUUGUUUUGGUUCAAAACUCCGGUGGUAUAGGAUGGGCAUGCGGUCGAUUAGCUUGUUGGUGAGGUAACGGCUCACCAAGGCGACGAUCGAUAGGGGGCCUGAGAGGGUGAUCCCCCACACUGGUACGGAGACACGGACCAGACUCCUACUGGAGGCAGCAGUAAGGAAUAUUGGUCAAUGGGCGAAAGCCUGAACCAGCCACGCCGCGUGAAGGAAGACGGCCCUAUGGGUUGUAAACUUCUUUUGUACGAGAAUAAACCGCAGGACGUGUCCUGAGCUGAAGGUACCGUACGAAUAAGGAUCGGCUAACUCCGUGCCAGCAGCCGCCGCGGUAA
rnacentral:rRNA from 1 species